UGCGCAGGCGGCUUGGCAAGAAAGAUGUGAAAUCCCCGAGCUUAACUUGGGAAUUGCAUUCGAUACUGGUUGGCUAGAGUGUGGGAGAGGAUGGUAGAAUUCCAGGUGUAGCGGUGAAAUGCGUAGAGAUCUGGAGGAAUACCGAUGGCGAAGGCAGCCAUCUGGCCUAACACUGACGCUGAGGUGCGAAAGCAUGGGGAGCAAACAGGAUUAGAUACCCCCGUA
rnacentral:rRNA from 1 species